rnacentral:rRNA from 1 species
UUUAAAUUGAGAGUUUGAUCCUGGCUCAGGAUGAACGCUGGCGGCGUGCUUAACACAUGCAAGUCGAGCGAGGGAGCACCUUCGGG